UGUGCCUCAAGAGAGACGUGCAGUUCUCAGAAUUAAUAUUUCCUUUCAGAGAUAUGUUUUUACAAGAAGACUGCUGAGCUAUGAUAAUUUGCAUGGCAGGAACAAUAAAAUACCUUCCUUUUUGAUUCUGUCCCAAACUGGCAUAUUUCUUCUUACACACACACCACACACACAAAACCUUCCAUGCUAUCUUUUACAACUGCAGUGAAAUCUUCAAAUCUGUAAUAUGCAAGGCAUUCUUUUCUCCCAAAGGGAACACACUAGGAAGGCCCCAGAUUGCAGGCAGAUUGACAGAGAUGUGUGUUUGGUAUGGAUCCCCACUUACAGUGUCUUCACGUCUUUGUCUUCCUGUAGCCCGGACUCCCCACUUCCUGUGGAUCCAGAACAUGGAGGUGAACGCUGGCCAGUCGGCCACCUCCCAGUGCAGUGUGAUUGACAGGACCUCAUCCAAGGAGGACACACUGUGGUUACAGGAGAAAUGGAAGCAUCCCCAUGUGCUCCCCAGGCUGAGUUGCUGAGGGAGGUUUCUUAAACACCCUGGGCCUGCACAGGAUGCGCCCUGAGUCCUGAAAUCACUGUCUUUUCACAUCCUGUCCCCCUGCACAGCUUCCCUAGCCAUGAAGGAGCCAUGUGUGCAAGAGCCCAAGACUGUAUGUUCCAAAUUCAUUCUUACUUUUUUUGUUGCUCCUAAAAGUUUUGUAAUCAGUACUCUAAAUGCUUUGUGCAGCUGGUAAAAAGUUUUGUCAGUGUUCAACUAUUUUUUCUUUGUAUCUCAUUUCU
rnacentral:lncRNA from 1 species